rnacentral:lncRNA from 1 species
UUUUUUUAACAGAAACUAUGUAAGCCAGAUGACAAAGGGGAAAAAAUAUUUAAAAUUCUGAAAGAAAAAAAAAAUAUAUUUUUUAAUGAGGAGCGGAGGGGCAGAGAGAGAGAGAGAGAGAGAGAGAGAGAGAGAGAGAGAGUAUCCCAAGCCUACUCCAUGCCCAGCACAGAGCUGGAUUUGGGCUCAGUCUCAGGAUCAUGAGAUCAUGACCUGAACCAAAAUCAAGAGUUGGGUCCAACCAAGUGAGCCACCCAGGCACUCCAAGAAAUAUUUCAAUGAAUACAAAAAAAAAAAAAAAAAAAAAAAAAAAAAAAAAAAAAAAAAAGAAAAAAAAACUUUUUUAGGAAUAAAAGUUAAGUAAGGACUUUUUUCAGAUAAACUGAGAAAAUUUCCUAUCAUUGGACAACUAUAAGAAAUGGGUUGGGUUGGGUUUUUUUGUUCUGUUUUGGCUACAGCAGGACUUUUCCUAGGCUACAGUGCAGGGUGGGCUGCACACACUGCAUCCCGCUGGGGACAGCUGGUUGCCCUGUGAGCUGAAGAAGUAGGUGGAGUCCUUCACCUGCCCCUGGUCCAAGGCACCUGUCUUAGGCACCAGCAUCAGUGUGUCCUGUAGCUUGUGACCUACAAGGGCAGUUUUCAGGUAGUAGGAAACUUAAACUUGGGUCUAUGCAAAGGGACAAAUAGGAUAAAAAUGGCAAAUACCUGUGCCCUCAACAGUGAAAGAGAGUAAGAUAAACAUAAAAAAAAAAAAAAAAAAAAAAAAAAAAAUUGCAUCGUGAAUGGCAGCUUUCUCUUUAUAUAAGAAAAUUUCUGAACUUACAUUGAAAUUGGCCACUUUAUGGAUUCAUUUUCAGCUCAUUAACAAAUUAAAAUUCCAAUAAAACUGUUCUGGUAUGUUAAUUUGGUGGUGAAGAUGAAUUAUUAUAUUGAUACCGUUGUAAAUAUUUACAUUUGGACACUGAAAUUGGGAGGAAAUCUCAGAUGACUUUGUUGGUAAAAAGCCAAGAGUCGGGUAUUUAAGUGCUUUAGAGUAUAAAGAGGAAACAAAGCAAAAAGGGGCUGUAUAAAAAGAAUUGGACCCACUAGAAAGUGAACAACUCACCUAAAUUUGUUCAGAUUCUACUUUGAAAAAAAAAAAAAAAAAAAAAAGUUUCCAGACCAGUGUUUGAGGACAAAUGCAGAAUUUGUGAUGUCAUAAAAUAACUCUUAAGUUAGAAAGCAGAAUGUUCUCUUUAAUUUUAACUUUAAUAAUUUAAAUUGCCUUCCAAGUUUCUUGAUGCGCUUUACACUGUCCUCUUUGUUUCCACUAUUUAACUUGUACUUCAUUAGGUGCUAAUAGGGGUAAUUCAAUCCCAGUUCAUGUCUUUUAACUGUUAUGAACUUUAAAAUAUAAUUUUCAAUUUAUCACCCAUCUGAAGUAAAAGAGUUUUUUGUUUUUUGUUUUAGAUUUUUGGAAAGCUAAAGAAAAGUGGUGUAGGAAAGAUAGCUUUUUUCCUUUGUUCUCCUAGGUUCAGUGGCUGGGGACCCUGCAAAUCAAACGGACAAAACACAGAAUAACAGGAGGAAAAAAAAAAAAAAAAGAUUUAAUGACAUGCGUGCAUACUGGGAAUUCAUAAAGGAAUGUGAUUCUAGGAGACAGAAUUUGCGGCUUCUAUACUUAGGCUAGAGGAUGGAGAAAGGGUUUGAGAUUUCUUAGGGUGAGGUAAGUUAUGGGAAGGGGAGUGGGCGGUGUGUAUCCUAAAACAAGGAGUAUUUAGUGUUUUGUUUUGUUUCAGAUAGGAAUUAUCUGAGGGACUAAGACUUGUCUCCAGAGUGGUUCCCCGCCUAGUGGGAGAAAGGGAAAGGCUAUGAGGGAUGGAAACUUCUGUCCUUCUUAUAAAUAGAAGGGAGCUAAGGCAGGGAGCUAAUUGCCUUUAGUUCAAAACAAUCCUUACACCCAAGUGUCAUAUUUGGGGGGCAACAUAUUCUGGCCCCUUAGAGGGAAGCAGAGUCCUGGUCACACUUUUUAAUUAACGGUGUCCCUUAUGCUCUCAUUUUAACGAUUUUAGUAGAAAGUUGAAAUAUGUUUUCAAUUGAUCAAUGGUCAAUUAUUUAUUAAAUGCUUAUGAAUCUUGCAGACCUAAAAACAGCAACUAAAAGGAUGCUCUCAAUAGCUGCCUUGACUAUUGGAAGAAUUGCCC